UGGGGGCUACCCUGAUGCAGCCAUGCCGCGUGAGUGUAGAAGGCCUUCGGGUUGUAAAGCUCUUUGACAUGGGAAGAUGAUGACGGUAACAUCAGAAGAAGCCCCGGCUAAUUUCGUGCCAGCAGCCGCGGUAAUACGAAAGGGGCUAGCGUUGUUCGGAUUUACUGGGCGUAAAGGGCACGCAGGCGGUCUUGCCAGUCAGGGGUGAAAGCCCGGGGCUCAACCUCGGAACUGCCUCUGAUACUGCAAGACUUGAGACUAGGAGAGGGUGGUGGAAUUCCCAGUGUAGAGGUGAAAUUCGUAGAUAUUGGGAGGAACACCAGAGGCGAAGGCGGCCACCUGGACUAGAUCUGACGCUCAGGUGCGAAAGCGUGGGGAGCAAACAGGAUUAGAUACCCUGGUAGUCUUUUCCGUAAACGAUGAGUGCUAGUUGUCGGGACUUCGGUUUCGGUGACGCAGCUAACGCAUUAAGCACUCCGCCUGGGGAGUACGGUCGCAAGAUUAAAACUCAAAGGAAUUGACGGGG
rnacentral:rRNA from 1 species